ACAACCUCAAGCACUGCUUGAUGUUGGGUGUUUGUCCGCGUUGAUGGCGCGGACUCACCCUAAAACCAUUGGCAGCAGCCAGCCAGCCUCUCGCGCAGCACUUUGCGCUCUCCGAGGCUUUGGCAGGCUUGACUUCCACGAAGAUCUUCGCUA
rnacentral:misc_RNA from 1 species